ensembl:snRNA RNU6-462P RNA, U6 small nuclear 462, pseudogene
CUUGGUAUUAUUAAGAGAGCAAUGAAAAUUGGAACAAUACAGAAAAGAUUAGCAUGGCCCCUGUACAAGGAGGACAUGCAAAUUUGUGAAGUGCUCCAUAUUUUU